UGUUGCUUAAUUGAACUCUUGCGUUGAAUCAGGGUUCUUAGUGGGCCAUUUUUGGUAAGCAGAACUGGCGAUGUGGGAUGCACCAGACGCUUUGUUAAGGGGCCUAAGUACUCGCUCAUUCAGAUACCAUAAAGGGUGUUGAUUCAUAUAGACAGCAGGACGGUGGUCAUGGAAGUCGAAAUCCGCUAAGGAGUGUGUAACAACUCACCUGCCGAAUCAACUAGCCCCGAAAAUGGAUGGCGCUCAAGCGAGUCCCCGAAACAGGGCCAUUGGGGUAGAUGCGAUGCCCCAAUGAGUAGGAGGGCGUGUUGGUUGCAGCGAAGGCGCGGGCGUGAGCCCCGCUUUGAGCGGCCAAUAGUGCAGAUCUUGGUGUUAGUAGCAAAUAUUCAAAUGAAAACUUUGAAGACCGAAGUGGAGAAAGGUUUCACGUCAACAUCACUUGGACGUGAGUGACUCGGUCCUAAGGUAUUCCGUAUGGGAUUCAGAAGGCGCGAUUUCUCGCGCCAUCGGCCAAAAGGGUAAUCGGUUAAAAUUCCGAUAGCUGGUCAAGGCGUUGAGCGGCAACGCGAUCGUAACCUAGUGACGCUUGCUUGGGCCCCGGGAAGAGUUAUCUUUUCUUUUUAACAACAGGCGUGCGUCUGAAAUGGGAUUAUCCCUAGAUAGACGGACUCCUGUGGCAGAGCGGCUGACUUCCUCAGCCGUCCGGUGCGCUCAGGAUGGCCCGUGAAAAGCUAGGGGAGUAGGUGCGCUUCGACUAGGCCGUACUCAUAACCGCAUCAGGUCUCCAAGGUUAAAAGCCUCUGGUCAAUAGAACAAUGUAGGUAAGGGAAGUCGGCAAAUUGGUUCCGUAUGUUCGCGAUAUGGGAUGGCUCGCCAGACUGGAUGGUAGAGGCUCGGUCCAUGAAAGUUGCUAGCCGAUAGGACUGGCUAGGCGCCCCUCGGGGAGCUAGGCCGGGCUUGUUUGGUAGGCGGCCGGAGGGGCCGAGACAGCGCGGUGGGCUUCGGCACAUUGUUGCGUUCUCGCCAUAACAAGCAGUCAAUGUCGAACUCGUAGUGACCACGGAAACCCGACUGUUUAAUUAAAACAAAGCAUUGCGAUGGUCGCAAGUCGAUGUUGACGCAAUGUGAUUUCUGCCCAGUGCCAUGAAUGUCAAAGUGCGGAGAUUCAACCAAGCGCUGGUAAACGGCGGGAGUAACUAUGACUCUCUUAAGGUAGCCAAAUGCCUCGUCAUCUAAUUGGUGACGCGCAUGAAUGGAUCAACGAGGUUUCCACUGUCCCUAUCUACUAUCUAGCGAAACCACAGCCAAGGGAACGGGCUUGGGAGUAACGGCGGGGAAAGAAGACCCUAUUGAGCUUGACUCUAGUCUGACAUUG
rnacentral:rRNA from 1 species